CUGGUGUCAGCCGCCGCGGUAAUACCAGCACCCCGAGUGGUCGGGACGUUUAUUGGGCCUAAAGCAUCCGUAGCCGGUUCUACAAGUCUUCCGUUAAAUCCACCUGCUUAACAGAUGGGCUGCGGAAGAUACUAUAGAGCUAGGAGGCGGGAGAGGCAAGCGGUACUCGAUGGGUAGGGGUAAAAUCCGUUGAUCCAUUGAAGACCACCAGUGGCGAAGGCGGCUUGCCAGAACGCGCUCGACGGUGAGGGAUGAAAGCUGGGGGAGCAAACCGGAUUAGAUACCCGGGUAGUCCCAGCUGUAAACGAUGCAGACUCGGUGAUGAGUUGGCUUAUUGCUAACUCAGUGUCGCAGGGAAGCCGUUAAGUUUGCCGCCUGGGGAGUACGGUCGCAAGACUGAAACUUAAAG
rnacentral:rRNA from 2 species